AUUGAACGCUGGCGGCAGGCUUAACACAUGCAAGUCGAGCGGGGUGAGGUGCUUCGGUACUGAUCCUAGCGGCGGACGGGUGAGUAAUGCUUAGGAAUCUGCCAUUUAGUGGGGGACAACAUUCCGAAAGGGAUGCUAAUACCGCAUACGUCCUACGGGAGAAAGCAGGGGAUCUUAGGACCUUGCGCUAAAUGAUGAGCCUAAGUCGGAUUAGCUAGUUGGUGGGGUAAAGGCCUACCAAGGCGACGAUCUGUAGCGGGUCUGAGAGGAUGAUCCGCCACACUGGGACUGAGACACGGCCUAGACUCCUACGGGAGGCAGCAGUGGGGAAUAUUGGACAAUGGGCGGAAGCCUGAUCCAGCCAUGCCGCGUGUGUGAAGAAGGCCUUUUGGUUGUAAAGCACUUUAAGCGAGGAGGAGGCUACCUAGAUUAAUACUCUGGGAUAGUGGACGUUACUCGCAGAAUAAGCACCGGCUAACUCUGUGCCAGCAGCCGCCGUAACAC
rnacentral:rRNA from 1 species